AUGGAGAGCCCAGAUGCAAGUGGUCCAAGAUCUGAGUAAAUAUAUGCGCCCACCUAACCUAACAGGCCCAACCCAAAUCCAUCAACGAUUUUCACAGCAACUCUUCUUCUUCCUCCACUACGCCACAACCCAAGUCCUUCUCAGUUCCAACAAUGGAGAAAGGGGGUUCGAAAAGUUACAAUUACUCUGGUCAUGGAAAACCUCUUAUUAUUAGCCCUAGGGGUCAUACAGCAGAGAUGCUUAAUCUGUUGUUGAAGUUACCGAUACAAUGAGCCUUCAAAAAAAUCUCGCGCACUCGACGACUCCGAGAUUGGGAUCAAGGUGGUAGAAACUGCUCGGUUCAGGCAGAUCUAUCGAAGCAGGGAAGUUGGUCAAUCAUAUUUAGCAUUUGUUUGGACAACCUUGAUUGUGAUGGCUCAUGCACUCUAGCUAAUGACUAAAAUUAGACCCCAAGUGGGGAGCAUUAGGGAAAAUGUACUUUAAAGGGGAUCUGGACUCUUACUUAGGACAGACCAAAUGGAAGUUUUACACUUUUUUAGGCCCCAAUUUAGGUGGACAAUUUCUCAAAUAUCAUUAUGAAGAUGGGAAUGGUACUUAUCUUUGGCAAGCUAGUUGGCAUCUUGGUCCUCUGUUGCUUAAAUAUGUGCCUCGGAUCAGCAAUGAUAGUCAGUACUGUGAAUGGAAAGGUCUCAUCAGCUCACAAUGGAGGAAACUAAAGUUGGCAGCCAGUAGGGUUUGCGGCUUUGGUUCAUAUUCAGGGCAAGUGUUUUGAGGCAAACCUUGAUCAAAAUGUAGCAGAAAAUGUCAAUUUAGAACUACAAAAUCAGGAGAAUUUGAAUGUGGGGGACAUCAUGGAAUGCUAUUAGAUUUAUUCCACCCAAAGUUUUAGCUGUUCUAGCUUACCAACUAUUCUAACUAAUAGACUUUGUUCCAUUUCUUCAAUACAAAGGGCAUAAUGUGCUGAAGUUCUUGCCCCACUGUUGGCCCUUUUUGAGAUUAAUUGCCAUUGCCAUUGCAAAUUCGCAAACAGCAUGGCACAUCCUCUACCCUCUUCCAACGAGUUUCCAAAAGAUGAAAGACAUGGUGAUCUUGAGAGCAUAUGGCAUUGGCAUGACUCUGAAUAUGACCUUCGGCAAUUAUGACUCUAAAUCCCAUCGUAGCAGUCCAUCUCAACCCCCAAACCAAUGCCACGGCAAGAGCUUUAGUCUUAGUGUUUGUUGCUCUUUCCUUGGUACUUAAAGUCUUCUCCGAUGCAAAUUUUCCAUGGUUGGUAAUGAGUUAGUACAAGCUCAGCAAAACAGAUGUCUGCACUCAUUGGGAAUGUUCAGUUUCCAUAGGACUCUUCACCCAAACAACUCGGUGCUCAGAAGAGGAUAAAUUUUCUUCAGGCACAGCCAAUGAAUUUAUUUACUCUAUAUCUCUUGUAUCAAAGAGUUGUUCUAAAAGGGAGACCGUUCCACCGCGGACCAUCACAAUUUGUUCGGCACUAUGACGUGUUGUUUCUUGAACAUUUGUAUUGUGUAGUUUUGUAUUAUGGUGCACACGUGAUAUGCUAAAAGGUUUAUUCAAUGUCAAUGCUAUUGAAUUGUAGUUAAA